UGGGGAAUAUUGGACAAUGGGCGCAAGCCUGAUCCAGCCAUGCCGCGUGAGUGAUGAAGGCCCUAGGGUGGUAAAGCUCUUUCACCGGUGAAGAUAAUGACGGUAACCGGAGAAGAAGCCCCGGCUAACUACGUGCCAGCAGCCGCGGUAAUACGAAGGGGGCUAGCGUUGUUCGGAUUUACUGGGCGUAAAGCGCACGUAGGCGGACUUUUAAGUCAGGGGUGAAAUCCCGGGGCUCAACCCCGGAACUGCCUUUGAUACUGGAAGUCUUGAGUAUGGUAGAGGUGAGUGGAAUUCCGAGUGUAGAGGUGAAAUUCGUAGAUAUUCGGAGGAACACCAGUGGCGAAGGCGGCUCACUGGACCAUUACUGACGCUGAGGUGCGAAAGCGUGGGGAGCAAACAGG
rnacentral:rRNA from 1 species